AUUCCCUCAAGUGGUACAGAAGGUUAGUGCUGCAUGAAGCUGUUUGGGUUUGCAGGUCUGGAGCCAUAACCUGCCUGCUCCUACUUUCCAUAUGUUUAGGGUCUACCUGGGAAGGAUGGAAUUCCCGGGCUGCCGGGCAGACCGGGGCGGACAGGUCCUCCUGGUCCCCCUGGACUCAUGGUAAAUUUUUUUUUUUUUUUUAACAAACCUUGUCAAAGUGCCAUUUAAGAGAAAAGUGAACAUGGCUCUCAAAUCUCUCUCCUGUUUUGCAGGGUCUCCCUGGCAUCCAAGGUGAUACUGGCUCUCCUGGCUAUCCUGGACCAGCGGGGCCAAAAGGAGAGAGAGGCGAACCAGGCUAUGUCCUGGGAGGAGUAGAGGUGAUUCCUGGCCGAAAUGGGCAGCCUGGCCCCCCUGUGAGUAUCAUACCCAGGACUGGUGGACCCUUCAACCUCUCAAGAGCUGGCAGAGAAGAGAAGGGAGCUGGAAGAGAGCCCAUGUUCUUCCCUUUCCUGGUUUUUGUUGUUGCAGGGACAGAAAGGGCAGCCGGGGGUUCCUGGGGUAGCAGGACCACCAGGUUUACCAGGGCCACAGGGGCCACCAGGGAUCUCCAUCAAGGUGAGCAUGGUUCUGUGGUGUUGUACUAUAGAGAGAGGAGACUCAGCAUAGUCCAGGGUCCUCUGGAUACUCUGUUCAUUCAAGAGUCCUGGGA
rnacentral:lncRNA from 1 species